rnacentral:rRNA from 1 species
UAGCUAGUUGGUAAGGUAACGGCUUACCAAGGCGACGAUCAGUAGCCGGCCUGAGAGGGUGAACGGCCACAUUGGGACUGAGACACGGCCCAAACUCCUACGGGAGGCAGCAGUGGGGAAUCUUCCGCAAUGGGCGAAAGCCUGACGGAGCAAUGCCGCGUGAGUGAAGAAGGCCUUCGGGUUGUAAAGCUCUAUCGUAGCCGAAGAGAGGUGGGGAUAGUAACUGAUUCACACAGGACGGUAGGCUACAAGGAAGCCCCGGCUAACUAU